CUCUGCCUGAUUUCUAAAACUGCAAUCUGAUUUCCUGAAGUGGAGACCAGUGGGCCGAUAAAUGACCGUUGUACCUAUGGAUAAGAAACGGUCACAGCUGGUGACACAGAGUCCGCGUCUGCUUCUUUCUUCCCAUCUGAGAGCUACAGCUACAGCAUCCAGCCAGAUAAGCACAUUUACUGUGACACUAUUAGCAGGGAAGGUACCCUUGUCAAGGAACUAGUAGACGGGGUGGCAUAUUCCAGGCCACUACAGCCACUGCCUCUGACCUGAAAACGGAUAUAUUGGAUUUAGUCUGCCGGACAUGUGCUGAUUAUCAAGUUGCACCAUAAAGAAAAAGCAGCUCAUGUAGAGUUUUCUCCCGAACGCUUUAUGAGACGAAGGUUAAACACACAGGCAUGAACCCACACAGCCGGGACAAAAAUCCACAGAAGACUCCAGGUUUAUUUCUCACUGAAGGAAUCUCAUCAUCAGUACAGCUCAUUAUCGAGUUCUUCAGGAGGGGAUUUUCACGAACAAACCUCAUGCUUGUUUGUUUAAAGCUUUCGUACAAAUUUGCAGGUGAUGAGAGCAACCUUCACUCGGAUAAAAGAACAGGCCAAGGUACUGAUUGGAGAAAAUUACAUGAAGUUUUUUAAUCAAAGUCUCUGUGGUCGACUGUCUGAUUUUCUAGGCCAGAUGUCAAAUGCUUUUCACUGAUGUCGAUGAGGUCAUCACUGAGCCGAUUCCAAGUCUGCCUAAGUGAGACUGUAACAGUGUUUCAUGUCAGUUCCAGGGAAGGUCUUUCCCCAGCCCUGAGCAGAGUAACUGGGUUCUGUAUAUUGAUGGAAACCGCGACUGGGAAUUCUUACAGCAUUUCACAACUUUCCUACAAACGCCUGAUUAUGCACGAACCUGAAGCCUUGCAGUCCAGAUGGGAAGCAACCUGCAAUUACCAAUAUGCUUAUAUUUUCAAGAUUCCUAUUUAACUUAACAUGCAAUUAAACAUUUAUUGUUUAAUCUAUU